AUUGAACGCUGGCGGCAGGCCUAACACAUGCAAGUCGAGCGGAUGAAGGGAGCUUGCUCCUGGAUUCAGCGGCGGACGGGUGAGUAAUGCCUAGGAAUCUGCCUGGUAGUGGGGGAUAACGUCCGGAAACGGGCGCUAAUACCGCAUACGUCCUGAGGGAGAAAGUGGGGGAUCUUCGGACCUCACGCUAUCAGAUGAGCCUAGGUCGGAUUAGCUAGUUGGUGGGGUAAAGGCCUACCAAGGCGACGAUCCGUAACUGGUCUGAGAGGAUGAUCAGUCACACUGGAACUGAGACACGGUCCAGACUCCUACGGGAGGCAGCAGUGGGGAAUAUUGGACAAUGGGCGAAAGCCUGAUCCAGCCAUGCCGCGUGUGUGAAGAAGGUCUUCGGAUUGUAAAGCACUUUAAGUUGGGAGGAAGGGCAGUAAGUUAAUACCUUGCUGUUUUGACGUUACAAACAGAAUAAGCACCGGCUAACUACGUG
rnacentral:rRNA from 1 species